GGGAUGUAGCUCAGUGGUUUAGCAUGUGCUUUGCAUGCAGAAGGUCUCAGAUUCAAUUCCUACCAUCUCCA